rnacentral:tRNA from 1 species
UGGGGUGUAGCUCAGUGGAACAGCAGCUCCCCAGCAUGUAGUAGGCCCUGGAUUCAAUCUCCAGCACUGCAA